ensembl:antisense 1700031F10Rik RIKEN cDNA 1700031F10 gene
GUGAUCAGAGGAGGAGGAGCCAGGAGGUUGAAAGCAGGGCAGGAAAGACAGACACGAGAGCCUGGGCCUGAGAUGGCUGCUACUUGUUACUGACCGGAGCUGUCCAUCUUCUUCCACCUCCACCCGCUCUUGGCCGUUCUCAAUGAUUCGCUUGGUGGUCACCUUACGGCCGUUCACCAUCUCAGUCGAUGACAUCACUGACUUGAACCCUGAGCUGCCAGAACCGGAGCCACCAAACGAAGCAGAUGAAAAGGUGGAGCGGCUGCCCCCACCACGGCCCAGAGUAUUGAAAGAUGACAAGGCUUCCAUGAAGGCUGGGAACUCACCAAAGCCCGAAGAGAAGACUCCGUGUAAACCAUGGGACCGGCCUCGGCCACUGAACGGAGUGUCCCAGAAUUCAAAGGAAAAAGGGUCCAGUCCUCCAAAGAACUCGCGGAAGAUAUCCUCAGGAUUUCGGAAGGGAUAGCCAGCACCAAAGGGACUGCUGUGGGGGACAUUGGCACCGCCACCCGCUCUCCAUCCGUCACAGCCUGCCCGGUCGUACACAGAACGCUUCUUAGAGUCUGACAAGACUUCGUAGGCUUCGGAAACCUGCUUAAACUUCUUCUCAGCUUC